GGCAGCCGCGGUAAUUCCAGCUCCAAUAGCGUAUAUUAAAGUUGUUGCAGUUAAAAGCUCGUAGUUGAAUUUCGGGAUCAAUGCGUCGGUCGUGCUUUCGGGUACGUACUGGUGUCAUUGGUUUCUCCUUUCUGACGAGCCGUGAUGUCAUUAAUUUGGUGUUACGGGUAGUUAGGACUGUUACUUUGAAAAAAUUAGAGUGUUUAAAGCAGGCAUUAGCUCGAAUACAUUAGCAUGGAAUAAUGAAAUAGGACGUUCGAUCCUAUUUUGUUGGUUUCUAGAAUCAACGUAAUGAUUAAUAGGGAUAGUUGGGGGCAUUAGUAUUCAAUUGUCAGAGGUGAAAUUCUUGGAUUUAUUGAAGACUAACUACUGCGAAAGCAUUUGCCAAGGAUGUUUUCAUUAAUCAAGAACGAAAGUUAGGGGAUCGAAGACGAUCAGAUACCGUCGUAGUCCUAACCAUAAACUAUGCCGACUAGGGAUCGGAUGAUGUUAAUUUUUUAAUGACUCAUUCGGCGCCUUA
rnacentral:misc_RNA from 1 species